rnacentral:rRNA from 1 species
UACGAGGGGUGCAAGCGUUAUUCGGAAUCAUUGGGCGUAAAGGGUGCGUAGACGGCAGAUUAAGUCAACUGUUAAAUUCCUCGGCCUAACCGAGGGUGAGCGGUAGAUACUGGUCCGCUAGAGGAUGGAAGAGAGAAGUGGAAUUCUCGGAGUAGCGGUAAAAUGCGUAGAUCUCGAGAGGAACACCAAUGGCGAAGGCAGCUUCUUGGUCCACUCCUGACGUUGAGGCACGAAAGCGUGGGUAGCAAACAGG